rnacentral:piRNA from 1 species
ACACAAAUACAAAGCCUUCCUCUC